GCUCCCAUCGUCUAGCGGUCAGGACGCUGGCCUCUCACGCCGGAAACCGGGGUUCGAUUCCCCGUGGGAGCG
rnacentral:tRNA from 1 species